rnacentral:sRNA from 14 species
AGAUGUGAGGGCGAGCUGUCUGUCACCCACUUGAUGGUGAGGGAUGUUUCUCCCUUGCUGCUCCAUGUGCACCUAACUUGGGUUAGGUGAACCUUCCCUAUUGAGGAGGACUGCUCAUUGGUACAGUACCAGUAGCUGUGCUCGUUGCAAGAACCCUCAAACAAGUUAAGAAAGGGAAAGUGGGCCAUACAGCUGGCUUACUCAAUAAGGUUGCUUGCUGUUAGGCCUGGCUGCUUGCAUCCUAUC